UGCUUUCUUUCUAAAAAAUUUUAUUUUAACCCAACCUCAAAUUAAGCUCGGAAAAACGGAGCCUGCCUGAAUAUAUCUUUACUUUCACGAAGUACCAUCCGGCCCUUAUAUCUCUCUAACUCACACGUGGCUGAACCCCCCACUGAACAAGAAAAAGAAAGGGAGAGCAAGAUCGUGAGGGGGAGUCAGCCACGUGAGCCAAGUGGUAGAUAUGAUGCUGCGUGCUCGGGUUUGUGGAUGCCGCACAUUUUAGGAAUGUAGGCGGCGGAAGGAGGCUGCACACAAAACCCGGUGGAUGUACAUAGAGUACAUGGCAUCCCUGUUGUAGUGUCACGUGGCGGUAUCGCACUCUUAGGGAUGUUCAUGAAAGUAUGUAUGAAUACCGUAAUUCUGCGCACUUCGCUAGGUUUUAAGUUCAGAUUAUUCACCAAAUAAUGAUUUUUUAUACUUUUAAAAUUAUUUUUCUUUAUUAUUCAACGCCGCUUGUUUUUUUUUCGACUUAAAAGCUAUAGUUUCUGGUGUCGAAUAUAUGAACGCAAGGCUGGAUAAAAUAUUAUCUUGGAA